rnacentral:rRNA from 1 species
UACGUAGGGUGCAAGCGUUGUCCGGAAUUAUUGGGCGUAAAGAGCUCGUAGGCGGUUUGUUGCGUCGGCUGUGAAAUCCCGAGGCUCAACCUCGGGUCUGCAGUCGAUACGAGCAAACUAGAGUGUUGCAGGGGAGACUGGAAUUCCUGGUGUAGCGGUGAAAUGCGCAGAUAUCAGGAGGAACACCGGUGGCGAAGGCGGGGUCUCUGGGGCAACAACUGACGCUG